rnacentral:tRNA from 1 species
GAAGGAAUUAUUCAGUGGUAGAGUGCAUGCUUAGCAUGUACGAGAUCCUAGGUUCAAUCCCCAGUACCUCCA